UAUGGCAGAAUAGUGCAAUGGACUUAAACCCCAAAUAUAAAGAACCCUUUUUUUAGAA
rnacentral:tRNA from 2 species